CUACAGUAAAGCGAACCAGAUUUACUGCCAUGGGUCUAAGAUGUUCGUCUCGCAAGGAUUGCAUCAUUAGAAAUGAUGCCACAAAACCGCACGCUCCUGGUCCGUGUAUGUGUGGAGGAGUUCAGCGCGCUAAUGGACUGGGAAAAAAGACACAGUCAAAAGUUCACUGUCCAUAUAAUGACUGAUGCACAAUGGAGUCUGCUGUAUCUUUCAUUUGGCAACCGAACAUUGAUAAACACUUAUUUUUUCUCGAUGUCGUAAAAUAAAAUCAUUAGCUAUUGUGUUAGUUCAUACUGUACAUGUACUAUAAUAUUAGAUACAACCAUAAAGACAUCUUGUUGAAAAA